rnacentral:rRNA from 1 species
UACAGAGGGUGCAAGCGUUAAUCGGAAUUACUGGGCGUAAAGCGUGCGUAGACGGUUAUUUAAGUCAGGUGUGAAAGCCCCGGGCUCAACCUGGGAAUUGCAUUUGAGACUGAAUAGCUAGGGUGCGGAAGAGGGAAGCGGAAUUUCCGGUGUAGCGGUGAAAUGCGUAGAUAUCGGAAGGAACACCAGUGGCGAAAGCGGCUUCCUGGUCCAGCACCGACGUUCAGGCACGAAAGCGUGGGGAGCAA